CAAUCCAAUAGCCUCUUCAAUUGAUGGCGAUACUAACCAAGAUGUACAAGUGAAGGCUCACUCCUUCCUCACCCCAAACACACUUUGGUUGAGCCAAGGAGUUUUACAACAAUUCUAGUUAACUCUCAACAAUCUACACUUGACAGAUCACUCACCCACUUAAGAACUAUUUUAUACAAAUGAGGCAACCUUCACCAAGGUUUUACCACUUCAAGAGAGUAACCUUCACUUCAGCAACCUCACAACCCAACUUUCCCAACCCCUUAUACAACCAACAAAGAAU
rnacentral:lncRNA from 1 species